UCACAUCUUACGAUGGCAGUCCUUCCAGAGUCCCCAGCAUUACCUGAUGGUAACUGGAAGCAAGGGUUGCGCUCGUUAUGGCACUUAAGCCGACACCUCACGGCACGAGCUGACGACAACCAUGCAGCACCUUCACACUGGUCCGAAGAAAAACCCAUCUCUGAGUCUGUCCAGUGCAAUUUAAGCCCGGGUAAGGUUCCUCGCGUAUCAUCGAAUUAAACCACAUGUUCCUCCGCUUGUGCGGGCCCCCGUCAAUUCCUUUGAGUUUCACCGUUGCCGGCGUACUCCCCAGGUGGGAUACUUAACGUUUUCACUUGGCCGCUGACAAUAUAUCGCCAACAGCGAGUAUCCAUCGUUUACCGUGUGGACUAC
rnacentral:misc_RNA from 1 species